GGAUUGGUAGCUCAGUUGGUAGAGCANNUGGGUCCAGGGUUCGAGCCCCUGCCAGUCCA
rnacentral:tRNA from 1 species